GAUGAAGAACGUAGCGAAAUGCGAUAAGUAAUGUGAAUUGCAGAAUUCAGUGAAUCAUCGAAUCUUUGAACGCACAUUGCGCCCCCUGGUAUUCCGGGGGGCAUCCCUGUUCGAGCGUCAUUUCACCACUCAAGCCUCGCUUGGUAUUGGGCAACGCGGUCCGCCGCGUGCCUCAAAUCGACCGGCUGGGUCUUCUGUCCCCUAAGCGUUGUGGAAACUUUCGCUAAAGGGUGUUCGGGAGGCUACGCCGUAAAACAACCCCAUUUCUAAGGUUGACCUCGGAUCAGGUAGGGAUACCCGCUGAACUUAAGCAUAUCAAUAAGCGGAGGA
rnacentral:misc_RNA from 1 species